CUUGGUUGCCAGGGAGCCUGAGACUUCUGUUACCAAGAAAGCCGGAAUCCCCGUUGCUAGGGAAGAAGGAGUACCCAUUUUCCUAGAGUCUGAGGCUUCAGUUGCCCGGAAGGAUGGGGCCUCAGUUACCAGAGGCCCUUGCAUUCUAAAUGAAGGAUAUAUCCAAAGGAAAGAAUCUCAAGUGGCAGAAUUUUAGACCUCAGCAACAAGAAAAGUCCAAGGAGGGGAGCAGGAGGAGCCAUUUUGGAAGUGGAACUUCCCCCAAAUCACAGAUGAGACGCGGGAUCGGCCAGGUUACAGGACUUGCCUCGAAUCACAGGUGUUGUAGGUGACCGAGACAGAAUGUGGACUGUGUGAUCCAGAGCCCUCUCUGCUUCUGGAUCCUGCUGUCACCCACCUCCUUAGCACCUGCCUCCUACCCCAGGUGCCCACGCCCAUCCUGCUGCCCUGCUUCCUCUUGUCCUCUCCUUGGCGGGCACGUGAAAGACCGUUUUCACAAAGGUGUUAAGAACUUCCCGGGUUCCCCCACCGAGGGCACAUGCGUUUGAAGAAGUGCUGGGGAAAGCUCACUGGAGUGGGAAGCCAGGGCUUUGGGUCUGGCUCUACCAGCUGUGUGACCCCAACAAAUCCCUCUGAGCCUCACUUUCCUUAUCUGUAUCAUGAGGCUGCUUAUAGGGGCCUGUGAAUUUUAUUAGGCAGGUGCAAAAGUAAGUGUGGUUUUUGCCAUUUAAAGUAAUGUAAUAUGAUGUCAGAGACUCGGGGACUCUGUCACUGAGCAGAAAAAGGAGAGGAAUUCUGAAAUAGCUUCGGGAUGAGGAGCAGGGUAAGAGGGCCUGGUGACAGACCCUGGCCAAGACCCUUUCUAUCCCAGCCAGCAAGGGCCGUGGCCACACUUACCAUGUGC